GGCGAUAUGGCCAAGUGGUAAGGCAGAGGACUGCAAAUCCUUUAUCCCCAGUUCAAAUCUGGGUAUCGCCU
rnacentral:tRNA from 2 species